AGAGUUUGAUCCUGGCUCAGGAUGAACGCUGGCGGCGUGCUUAACACAUGCAAGUCGAGCGAAGCGAUUUAAGUGAAGUUUUCGGAUGGAUCUUGGAUUGACUGAGCGGCGGACGGGUGAGUAACGCGUGGAUAACCUGCCUCACACAGGGGGAUAACAGUUAGAAAUGACUGCUAAUACCGCAUAAGCGCACGGCAUCGCAUGAUGCAGUGUGAAAAACUCCGGUGGUGUGAGAUGGAUCCGCGUCUGAUUAGGUAGUUGGUGGGGUAACGGCCCACCAAGCCGACGAUCAGUAGCCGACCUGAGAGGGUGACCGGCCACAUUGGGACUGAGACACGACCCAAACUCCUACGGGAGGCAGCAGUGGGGAAUAUUGCACAAUGGGCGAAAGCCUGAUGCAGCGACGCCGCGUGAGUGAAGAAGUAUCUCGGUAUGUAAAGCUCUAUCAGCAGGGAAGAAAAUGACGGUACCUGACUAAGAAGCCCCGGCUAACUACGUGCCAGCAGCCGCGGUAAUACGUAGGGGGCAAGCGUUAUCCGGAUUUACUGGGUGUAAAGGGAGCGCAGACGGCGAUGCAAGUCUGGAGUGAAAGCCCGGGGCUCAACCCCGGGACUGCUUUGGAAACUGUAUGGCUAGAGUGCUGGAGAGGCAAGCGGAAUUCCUAGUGCAGCGGUGAAAUGCGUAGAUAUUAGGAAGAACACCAGUGGCGAAGCCGGCUUGCUGGACAGUAACUGACGUUCAGGCUCGAAAGCGUGGGGAGCAAACAGGAUUAGAUACCCUGGUAGUCCACGCCGUAAACGAU
rnacentral:rRNA from 1 species